GCCAUCAGUUUUACUUUGUUCCCAUUUGGGAGAACCUCAAAUUCUGCUUAUUUUGAGAAUUGCUUUUGUUAGUUGCAACUCACAUGAGGUUCCUUUUGUUAUUUUUGCUCAGGUCUUGUUUGAUUUAUUUCAGCAUGAUUUACGCUUGUGGAAAGCAUAUAGCAUUACUUUAAAGACCCAUCCAUCAUUUGCUGAAUACCAUGACUUGCUUGAAAGUUUGGAUGAAAAACUUUCAUCCACUUCAAAUUCAGAAGAGACGUGAGCUCUCUGGAUGUAAAGAGCUCCCUUGGUCAGCUUUGCUAUUAAUGGUUAAAAGAGCUCCCAGUGAGAUCUUCUACUUGAAGCUUUAACCGCACCAACUUGAAAUCAGCAUCAAUGUCUAAUUGCUCUAUUGGGAAGGGGGUUGAGCGGCUCUGCAAAAGGCACGAGAUGAGAUUUCGGUUCCUGUUCUACUUUUACCCUAUCUGUGUCCUGCAGAAUUUAUUUUGUAGAUAGGCAUAUCAUUGCUCCAUGGUCCUGUUUCUUUUUCAUGAUUUAUAGUUUGUAUCAAAUUUUAGCUUUGUCAUCAAGGGUGUAGGUGAUCGUAAUGAAAAGGGGCACCUCUUGUAUGAAAGAUCUGAUCUUCCGAUAAAUAGAGAAUAGAGAAGAUUUUGUGCAUUACUGCAUCACUCCUUUCCUUCUUUUUUAUUUAUUUACAGUUUAUACCAGAUUUCAUUGAGGGUG